UGGGGAAUCUUGCACAAUGGGGGAAACCCUGAUGCAGCGACGCCGCGUGAACGAUGAAGCCCUUCGGGGUGUAAAGUUCUUUCGACGGGGACGAUAAUGACGGUACCCGGAGAAGAAGCUGCGGCUAACUACGUGCCAGCAGCCGCGGUAAUACGUAGGCAGCAAGCGUUGUUCGGAAUUACUGGGCGUAAAGAGUGCGUAGGUGGUUCGGAAAGAAAGGUGUGAAAUCCCAGGGCUUAACCUUGGAACUGCACUUUUAACUACCGGGCUAGAGUACGUCAGAGGGGGGUAGAAUUCCACGUGUAGCAGUGAAAUGCGUAGAGAUGUGGAGGAAUACCGAUGGCGAAGGCAGCCCCCUGGGAUGAUACUGACGCUCAUGCACGAAAGCGUGGGGAGCAAACA
rnacentral:rRNA from 1 species